UUUGUGUUCUCCUUUCAUGGCCAAUGAGGUUACAACAUUUACAGAGCAUGCCAGGUCACACACAGGUGGCCAAUGGAGUUACAGUCUGCCUCAUAGCAACUGUUUGAACCAACUUAUCAUGUUAGUUACACUUGGCGCACAGAUUUGGGGGGGCUCACUUGAUGAAGGCGGAUACGCCUACUCAUGGGAGGGCACAGGCUUAACCUGGAACGUUCCACU